rnacentral:rRNA from 1 species
UACAGAGGUCCCGAGCGUUGUUCGGAUUCACUGGGCGUAAAGGGUGCGUAGGUGGUGAGGUAAGUCGGAUGUGAAAUCUCCGGGCUCAACCCGGAAACUGCAUUGGAAACUACCUUGCUUGAGGAUUUGAGGGGGGAUUGGAAUACUUGGUGUAGCAGUGAAAUGCGUAGAUAUCAAGUGGAACACCAGUGGCGAAGGCGAAUCCCUGGAAAAUACCUGACACUGAGGCACGAAAGCUAAGGGAGCAAACAGG